rnacentral:rRNA from 1 species
AAGGGUCCGUAAUAUUGUAUUUUAUACGAAUUAAAGAGAUUAAUUAUCGUACUAUUAUACUAGAGUCUUAUAGAGGAAUUGAGGAAUUAUAUGAGUAAGGAUGAAAUCUUUUGAUACAUAAAAGACCGCUAAUGGCGAAAGCAUCAUUCCAGGUUUAGACUGACAUAGAGGGACGUAGGCGUUAAAAGCAAAAAGGAUUAGAUACCCUUGUAGUCAACGCAGUAAACGAUAAAUGCUAGAGAUUAGUUAAAUUAAUUAGUCUAUAAAUGAAGAUAAUAAGCAUUUCACCUGGGAAGUAAAGUCGCAAGGCAGAAACCCAAAACAUUAGACGGUCAUGGAAAUCAGCAGUGAAGCAUGUUAUUUAAUACGAUAAUCCGCGUAAAACCUUACCAUUUCUUGCAUAUUUUUUAUUUCUAUUAAUUUAAUUUAUUAUAAAUAAUUUAUACAGGUGUUGCAUUGCUGUCUUCAGUUCGUGUCUUGAGAUGUUAGGUUAAUUCCAAUAAACGAAUGAAACCCUUAUUUCUUAAUAUAAAAAUAUAAAAUUAGGAAAAUUCUUGGAAAACGAGAAUAUAAUGGGGAUUAAGACAAGUCGUCAUGACCUUUAUGUUAUGGGCUAUAGACGUGCCACAAAAGUUAUAACAAAGGGAUGCAAAGAAAUAAAAAUCAGAGCUAAACCAUAAAAAUAACUAAUUACGGAUUAGAGUCUGCAACUCGACUCUAUGAAGAAGGAAUUGCUAGUAAUCGUAA